UACGAAGGGGGCUAGCGUUGUUCGGAAUGACUGGGCGUAAAGGGCGCGUAGGCGGACGGUUUAGUCAGGCGUGAAAGUCCUGGGCUUAACCUGGAGACUGCGCUUGAUACGGGGUGUCUUGAGUGGGGAAGAGGGUCGUGGAAUUCCCAGUGUAGAGGUGAAAUGCGUAGAUAUGGGGAAGAACACCGGUGGCGAAGGCGGCGUCCUGGUCCUUGACUGACGCUGAGGCGCGAAAGCGAGGGGAGCAAACAGG
rnacentral:rRNA from 1 species